GAGCGAGCGACGGUUCAAACGUAUUAUACCAACUCUAUAUAAUGUACGUAGAGAAAUUUUUAAAUAUAUCUGACUAUCACGAGUAUUAGCUCAUCUUGUCGGUAAAUAAAUUAAAAUGUUUGAUACGAAAAACAAGCUGGUCGAAGAAGAAUCCAGGAGGACGAGACGCGACGUAGCUUCCCGUGCGGAAACAAAAGUCACCUAAGUGCGAACUGCCCAACGGAAAGCAAAGUUGCCAGAAGUUUCAAAUGCCAGGAGUACGGACGCAUCGCAUCGCAAUUUAACAAUUGCGUCAAGAGGAUAUUUGCCACCCGGAGUGCUGUACGGAUCUGCUCUAAAGUUAAACGUAAACACCAGAUGAGAUACAUCCACGACGGUAGGAUAGUUACCAGAUGGGAUAGGAAUAGAUUCCCUCCUCAACGGAAAUAUGGACAGAAGAACACCCCCUGGACGGAGAGCUAGAAUAUAAGGACCAGGCGCUUCAAGAGACGAGUAUUCAGUCUUCAUCGCGCACGCAGUACGUCGGAAAAAUGCGACUGUAAAACAUCGAGAGGUUCCUUAGUAUCUUUGAGCGGAAAUUUCAAAGAUGAAGGAACGUCCUCGACGACUGAGCAACGGUGUCCAUCGGUGACGAAAAUCUACGCGACGCUUAUGGUAAUCCACAGAGAUCGUGGUUAAAUGCGGAACCGGAAAACCCGCAAGUUGUCCAAUGUUGAAGCGAAAUGAAGAAAUUCAAGAACCUUGGCGUCUGCGUAGAAAAGAAAGAAGCUAUUGGACUUUUCUACGUGAUUUCGAAGAUGGACGUAAAUGGAGUGGCAGCCAAAUCGAAACAGAUUCGAAUCUGUGACGAGAUCGUUGAGCAUUGUGGACGGAGACUGCAUAUAUCGGUAGUCGAUCGUCGAAGCUAGGCGCGCGUUAAAAACAUUUUUGGACACCAUAGAAUUGCAUAUAUCCAAAAAACCGACUUAAGCUUUUGCUGAUGAGCUAAGUGAUGUAGACGCUGAAACAAGGUUAAAGGAAUCAGCCGAUACCCUAUUUCGGUUAAAAUAAUUGGGGUGAUUCAAAUGAUAUUAACACUGAGUUAAAAAUUUAAUUACAACUCUUUGUCUCCAACAACUUUCAAAAACUGGUAAGUACAUUUCGACCGAAGAGUUGCUAACAAGUGAAGUUUGGAGUUCGUGAUGUCGAGGAGCAAAACUACUGAUGGCGGUGUGCCUGGAACACGAGACACGCGGAUCCGUCUAUUGCAAUUUUCGUUAAGGAAACAAGGACAACGGACAUUGUUGCUAAUUGAAAAAUUGGUGGAUAAGGAUUGGACGGACACUUAUCCCGUCUUUUACCCUGACGGGCAAUUAGGAGCGCCUCUACUUUAAAGACGUAUUAAAUAAAUUAAGGGCUUCGACAGUAAGUAAAAAUUUA